UGGUGAGAAGAGGCCAAAGUUGCCAGGUUGGUCUCUCAAGGACCCAGUCAGUGGGACCACCAUGGAACCAUUUCUCUCAGGAGCGAAGACUUCCAAACCGGCGGAGCCCAGCGACACAGUGGAGAAUGCCCAGCGUUGGACGCCUGCCGUGUGCCAUUCCAAGGUCUCCGCGCUGAGUUCUACAGCACUGGGCACUGAUGGGCACAGUUGUCCCCGGCAUGUUUUCUCUCUCUCUCUCUCUCUUUCUCUCUUUUUUUUAUACAAUUGAGUUUCUUUACCGGACCACAUGGCUACCCAAAAUAAAAACUAUAUUUCCCA